UUGCGGCCACAUCCCUUUGAAACACAGGUUCCCGUUUGAUCACCGAAGUCAAGCAACGUAGAGCCUGCUCAGUACCUAGAUGGGUAACCGCUUGGAAAUGCCAGUGCUGUAAG